GCUCAGUAAUUGAGAAACCAAUAGCUUGCAUGCCAGAUCUAGAAGCCAUAAAAUGGAAUGAGAUGUCAAAUCAAUCAAUUUGUGAUCAAAGUUCCAUGACCCUCCAUGACCCUGAGCUUGAUGAAGAACGAGAAGUAGUCAACAGCAAUGAAUCCUCUACAAGCAGUACCAGUAUCAUUGGCUCUAGAAGUGACACAUACUACGGAUCAAUGGUAAACAGAUCAACCACAGAGACCACCAAGACAGCAGAUAUCGGUUAUAUAGGAGAAAAGACAAGUGCAACG
rnacentral:misc_RNA from 1 species